UUGUCCUUGUGCCGAGCGUUGACCGGCAGACAGGGAGAGGCAGGCCAACGAACUAACCCAGACCGCCACAGCCACCACGGCGGCACCACCUCCGCCGCAGCGACCGCGCCAAAACCCAAUCAAUCCGACGGGACGGCCCGCACGUGCGCCGCUCAAGCUCCUCAUUCCCAUGGUCCCCCUCCACCACCGCCACCACCGCCCCGCGGGCCGUGCUCAUGCCGCGUCGUGCCGCCCGUAAACAAACGCCGCGGAGAGAGAGGUAGAGAGAGAAAAAAAAAUCAAUUCUUGGACGCCGCUGCUGUACAGCACAGUUGUCCGGGGGGACUAGUUUAAUCCUCCGGGCCGGGGGUGGGGGGGCCGGCCUAGGUAAUGGCCGCCGUGCCCCCGUGCGCCUCCUCCUGCACCUGCAGACCCCGCCCCCGGUUCCAGGGGUCGUCGUCUCCGCGCCGCCGCUCCUCCCCCUCUUCCUGUUGCCUCUGUCACGGCCUUCCCGGUGGUCAGGGGGAGGAGUCGUUGGCCUAACCAGCCCCUUCUUGCCUUGGCUGGGCUCUAAUUUAGGAGUACACCCUGCUCCUUGUGCGGGGGAGAGGUCGUGGGGGUUGACGCCCGAGGCAGAGCUCGAGUCCAGGGCUCUUGGGCGGCCAGAUUUGGUGGCGGCGAAAUUGCUGUUCAUUCGAUUUGAGCUUGGAACACUAAGCUUGCCUUGUUUUUGGCGGAUUUCAAACGGAAUGGCGUUUCCAGGUGAUGAAAAGAUGAAGGGCUGUCGUCCAAAGAUUUUUGGGGCCAAAGAUAAGAAAGCCGCAAAGAAGACGGACCGUCCAAGCUGCUCUGCUGUUAAGUCUGCACCAAGCUCCUCCAAAGCACAAUUUCCUUCCCCGUUCAGAACACUUUCAGAAGUUAGGAGCAUGCGUGAAGUUAGGAGCAUGCGUCUGAGCCAUUUUCUAGCCCGUUCUCCAAGUGCCAUAAAAACUGAAUCUCUUAGGGUAUUUAUUUCUACAUGGAACGUUGGAGGAAACACACCUACCGCCGAGUUGAAUUUGGACGACUUCAUUCCUGCAGAUGACCACUCGGAUAUUUAUGUUUUAGGUUUUCAGGAAAUAGUCCCUCUCAAUGCCGGCAAUGUGCUUGUGAUAGAAGACAACGAACCAGCUGCAAGGUGGCUUGCUCUUAUAAACCGCACGCUAAACAGACCAGUUGAUGGGGAUGCUGAUAUCUUCAGUCACAAGCCAUCUCUAUCCCUUGAUUCAACCUCGUCUCGAUCUUCAUCAAACCUUGACGCUUCUUUCUCCAACCGCUCUGGUUCUGCAAUCUUCCAGUCCUCCUUAAAAUCUAUCAGGAAGCCUUACAUGCCAACUCAGAGAAAACUGCUCAAAAUCUGCAACUGCUCAGUUGAAAUGCCCAGGAAAUCCUACAAAGAUGCUUGCUUUGGAUGCCCACAAGCAUACAUUAAUGAGACCGACUCUUCAGAAGAAGAUGAAGUGGAUGACAGAUCGAAUAAUGCUUCUGGUUAUGUGGUUGAUGGAGUGAUUUCGUCUGCUUCUGCCUCUAGCGACCAGCUAAAAUAUAACCUCGUAUCUUGCAAACGAAUGGUUGGUAUUUUUGUUACAGUAUGGGCAAAAAAAGAACUAGUGCCGCAUAUCGGUCAUGUGCGGACAUCAUGUGUAGGCCGUGGGGUAAUGGGUUAUCUUGGAAACAAGGGAUGUAUAUCUGUGAGCAUGACACUGCACCAGACAAGCUUUUGUUUCAUCUGUAGCCAUUUGGCUUCAGGUGAGAAAGAAGGCGAUGAGUUGCGGCGCAACACAGAUGUUUUAGAGAUACUGAGAGCCACGCAGUUUCCAAGAAUUUGCAGAAGAGCUGGGCAAAGAAUCCCUGAAAAAAUUAUUGACCAUGACCGAGUGAUAUGGUUGGGGGAUCUGAACUACCGUAUUUCCUUGAGCUAUGAAGAUACCAAGAAACUUCUGACUGAAAAUAACUGGGAUGCCCUUUUUCAAAAGGAUCAACUUAACACUGAGCGUGAUUCUGGAAGGGUAUUCAGGGGUUGGAGCGAAGAGAAGAUAUAUUUUGCCCCCACAUACAAGUACACUUUUAACUCAGAUUCUUAUUCUGGAGAAACUGCAACCUCAAAGAAAAAGAGGAGAACCCCUGCCUGGUGUGAUAGAAUACUAUGGCAUGGAGAUGGGAUUGCACAGUCGUCCUACUUCCGUGGGGAGUCUAAAUUUUCUGACCAUCGUCCUGUCUGUGGAUCAUUUACUGUGGAAGUGUAUUUACUGGACGGCAAAUCAAAGAGGCGUGCAUCUAAUACUAAUAUCAGAAUUGGUGCUGAAGAGCUCUUACCAAGAAGUAAGAAUAAGGUGCUGGGACCAAAACCACAUAAUAAAUCAGUUCAUGUCAUGCCGCUCAUGGAGUAAGGUGCUGCAACUUUCCACGGCCGCCGCUUGGAAAGCUUUGCUCCAAUCAAAGUAGAAAAAGGAAGAACCUGGUACGCAAGGGCGGAGCUGAAGAGGUCGGCGGUCGCUGAUGAAACAUCCGGCAAGAGCCAGCUCAGCGAGGUCCGCACCAGCUCCGGCACCUUCAUCAGCAAGGGCAAGGAUCCAAUUGUUGCUGGUAUAGAGGACAAAAUUGCUGCAUGGACAUUUCUUCCAAAAGAGAAUGGCGAAGAUAUGCAAGUUCUAAGAUAUAAGCGUGGAGAGAAGUAUGAACCGCACUAUGAUUUCUUCACCGACAGUGUUAACACUAUUCUUGGUGGACAUCGUGUAGCUACUGUACUUUUGUACUUAACAGAUGUUGCAGAAGGAGGGGAAACAGUUUUCCCCUUAGCCAAGGGACGUAAAGGAUCACACCACAAAGGUUUGUCAGAAUGUGCACAGAAAGGCAUUGCGGUGAAACCACGGAAAGGGGACGCCCUUCUGUUCUUCAACCUUAGGCCGGACGCCGCGACAGACCCGACGAGCCUCCACGGCGGAUGCGAGGUGAUCAAGGGGGAGAAAUGGUCGGCCACGAAAUGGAUCCGUGUGGCCUCGUUCGACAAGGUCUAUCACUCGCCGGGCAACUGCACCGACAACAGCAACAGCUGCUCGCAAUGGGCGGCACUGGGGGAGUGCACUAAGAACCCGGCGUACAUGGUGGGCACCGCGGUGCUGCCCGGUCACUGUAGAAGGAGCUGCAACGUGUGUUAGUGUGAGGAUGGUGAAAAUCCGUUCCGUGUAACGUUGAUGGUGGCUGUCUGAUUGUUGUCGGCGGUCAGGUUCAUAGACGAGGAGCAACAAUGGUGGGUUGAGCUGAGUUGGUCCGUGAGGUUCGGUCGCCCAGAUCGGACCAGUUUCUUGCUUCUCCCUGAUGACUACGGCCUGUUGCUUGGUUACCGGUGUAUGUUGAUCAGUGGUAACCUGGCUAGAUACCAGAGGACAGACCCACCCUUGUUGAUUAGCUCUCGCAGUUUGUGGUGGGAAGGCAGGCAGAGAUGAGUUCAUUCUUCAUUGUUAGCGUUGGUCCUUGGCAGAUUCCAUCAGCAUGUGGUUCCAUUUUGUAGGCUGUAAUCUUUUUCUCGCUCCCUGUGGUAGUAGUAGUAUAUAUCCAUGUGGCACCAACAUGUGUUCCGUGAAUCUGACGGAAGCUGGGCUUGUGCUUAUUUUUGUACUGCUACUAUUACAACUAACUGAACUGAAUCAUUCAUGUGGA